UACGAAGGGGGCUAGCGUUGCUCGGAAUCACUGGGCGUAAAGGGUGCGUAGGCGGGUCUUUAAGUCAGGGGUGAAAUCCUGGAGCUCAACUCCAGAACUGCCUUUGAUACUGAGGAUCUUGAGUUCGGGAGAGGUGAGUGGAACUGCGAGUGUAGAGGUGAAAUUCGUAGAUAUUCGCAAGAACACCAGUGGCGAAGGCGGCUCACUGGCCCGAUACUGACGCUGAGGCACGAAAGCGUGGGGAUCAAACAGG
rnacentral:rRNA from 1 species